rnacentral:tRNA from 1 species
CGCCCGGUAGCUCAGUGGUUAGAGUGCUGGCUUAACAAGCCAGAGGACCGGGGUUCCAUUCCCCGGCCGGGUGG